GAUGAAGAACGCAUCGAAAUGCGAUAAGUAGUGUGAAUUGCAGAAUUCAGUGAAUCAUCGAAUCUUUGAACGCACAUUGCGCCCCUUGGUAUUCCAUGGGGCAUGCCUGUUCGAGCGUCAUUUGUACCUUCAAGCUCUGCUUGGUGUUGGGUGUUUGUCCUUGCUCUAGUGGCGGGACUCGCCUUAAAGUAAUUGGCAGCCAGUGUUUUGGUUUUGAAGCGCAGCACAAGUCGCGAUUCAAGUCUAUACGCUAGUUUCCACAAGUCUUUUAUCACUUUUGACCUCGGAUCAGGUAGGGAUACCCGCUGAACUUAAGCAUAUCAAUAAGCGGAGGA
rnacentral:misc_RNA from 1 species